AAUGGAAUCUCUGGGUUAUAUGGUUGCUGUACUUUAGUUUUAUAAAAAACUGUCAAACUGUUUUCCAAAGUGACUAUACCAUUUUACAUUUCCAUCAGUAAU
rnacentral:pre_miRNA from 1 species